rnacentral:misc_RNA from 1 species
UGGUUCUGGCAUCGAUGAAGAACGCAGCGAAAUGCGAUAAGUAAUGUGAAUUGCAGAAUUCAGUGAAUCAUCGAAUCUUUGAACGCACAUUGCGCCCACUAGUAUUCUAGUGGGCAUGCCUGUUCGAGCGUCAUUUCAACCCUUAAGCUCUGCUUAGUGUUGGGAGUCUACUGCAGCGGACCUACCCUGUACCUACCCGGGACCUACCCUGUGGUGCAAGUUAGGCUACCCCGUAGCUCCUCAAAAUCAUCGGCGGAGGCGUGGUGUUCUCUAAGCGUAGUAAUCAUCUUCUCGCUUCUGUAGACUCCAUAGCUCUUGCCGUAAAACCUCUAUUUCAAUGGUUGACCUCGGAUCAGGUAGGAAUACCCGCUGA